rnacentral:rRNA from 1 species
CAGUCGCCGCGGUAAUACGUAGGUGGCAAGCGUUGUCCGGAAUUAUUGGGCGUAAAGGGCUCGCAGGCGGUUGCUUAAGUCUGAUGUGAAAGCCCCCGGCUCAACCGGGGAGGAUCAUUGGAAACUGGGAAACUUGAGUGCAGAAGAGGAGAGUGGAAUUCCACGUGUAGCGGUGAAAUGCGUAGAGAUGUGGAGGAACACCAGUGGCGAAGGCGACUCUCUGGUCUGUAACUGACGCUGAGGAGCGAAAGCGUGGGGAGCGAACAGGAUUAGAUACCCCGGUAGUCCCUGUCUCUUAUAC